rnacentral:rRNA from 1 species
AACGAACGCUGGCGGCAUGCCUAACACAUGCAAGUCGAACGAGAUCUUCGGGUCUAGUGGCGCACGGGUGCGUAACGCGUGGGAACCUGCCCUUUGGUUCGGAAUAACAGUUGGAAACGACUGCUAAUACCGGAUGAUGACGAAAGUCCAAAGAUUUAUCGCCAGAGGAUGAGCCCGCGUAGGAUUAGCUAGUUGGUGUGGUAAAGGCGCACCAAGGCGACGAUCCUUAGCUGGUCUGAGAGGAUGAUCAGCCACACUGGGACUGAGACACGGCCCAGACUCCUACGGGAGGCAGCAGUGGGGAAUAUUGGACAAUGGGCGAAAGCCUGAUCCAGCAAUGCCGCGUGAGUGAUGAAGGCCUUAGGGUUGUAAAGCUCUUUUACCCGGGAUGAUAAUGACAGUACCGGGAGAAUAAGCUCCGGCUAACUCCGUGCCAGCAGCAGCCGCAG